AUAUAUAUAAACGUUAGAUCGACCGUCGUUUCUCGAUAACAUUGUAAGUGCGUAUCCGGUGGCUGGGCGAUAAAAGCGUUUUAGGUGCUUGUGGAGGGGUUGAGUGUCGAUGGAUAGGCUGCGAAAUUCAGUAUACACACACAUUUCGAAUUGAAUAAUAAAACGCACUGCACGAGGAACCAAAUGAUAAGAAUGACAUUCCGCAGAUAAAACGAAACUUGCAUGCCCGGCACUAUAUAUUUGUAUUAUAAUCGUA